GACGAACGCUGGCGGCGUGCCUAACACAUGCAAGUCGAACGGAACUGUUUUGAAAGAUUUCUUCGGAAUGAAUUUGAUUUAGUUUAGUGGCGGACGGGUGAGUAACGCGUGAGUAACCUGCCUUCAAGAGGGGGAUAACAUUCUGAAAAGAAUGCUAAUACCGCAUGACAUAUCGGAACCACAUGGUUUUGAUAUCAAAGAUUUUAUCGCUUGAAGAUGGACUCGCGUCCGAUUAGUUAGUUGGUGAGGUAACGGCUCACCAAGACCGCGAUCGGUAGCCGGACUGAGAGGUUGAACGGCCACAUUGGGACUGAGACACGGCCCAGACUCCUACGGGAGGCAGCAGUGGGGGAUAUUGCGCAAUGGGGGCAACCCUGACGCAGCAACGCCGCGUGAAGGAUGAAGGUUUUCGGAUUGUAAACUUCUUUUAU
rnacentral:rRNA from 1 species